CCUACGGGUGGCAGCAGUGGGGAAUAUUGGACAAUGGGCGAAAGCCUGAUCCAGCCAUGCCGCGUGUGUGAAGAAGGCCUUCGGGUUGUAAAGCACUUUCAGUGGGGAAGAAAGCCUUGGGGCUAAUACCCUCGAGGAAGGACAUCACCCACAGAAGAAGCACCGGCUAACUCCGUGCCAGCAGCCGCGGUAAUACGGAGGGUGCGAGCGUUAAUCGGAAUUACUGGGCGUAAAGCGCGCGUAGGCGGUCUGAUAAGCCGGUUGUGAAAGCCCCGGGCUCAACCUGGGAACGGCAUCCGGAACUGUCAGGCUAGAGUGCAGGAGAGGAAGGUAGAAUUCCCGGUGUAGCGGUGAAAUGCGUAGAGAUCGGGAGGAAUACCAGUGGCGAAGGCGGCCUUCUGGACUGACACUGACGCUGAGGUGCGAAAGCAUGGGUAGCAAACAGGAUUAGAUACCCGUGUAGUC
rnacentral:rRNA from 1 species